CCUACGGGAGGCAGCAGUGGGGAAUUUUGGACAAUGGGCGCAAGCCUGAUCCAGCAAUGCCGCGUGAGUGAAGAAGGCCUUCGGGUUGUAAAGCUCUUUUGUCAGGGAAGAAACGGCUGAGGUUAAUACCUUUGGCUAAUGACGGUACCUGAAGAAUAAGCACCGGCUAACUACGUGCCAGCAGCCGCGGUAAUACGUAGGGUGCAAGCGUUAAUCGGAAUUACUGGGCGUAAAGCGUGCGCAGGCGGUUUUGUAAGUCUGACGUGAAAUCCCCGGGCUCAACCUGGGAAUUGCGUUGGAGACUGCAAGGCUGGAGUCUGGCAGAGGGGGGUAGAAUUCCACGUGUAGCAGUGAAAUGCGUAGAGAUGUGGAGGAACACCGAUGGCGAAGGCAGCCCCCUGGGUCAAGACUGACGCUCAUGCACGAAAGCGUGGGGAGCAAACAGGAUUAGAUACCCUGGUAGUCCACGCCCUAAACGAUGUCUACUAGUUGUCGGGUCUUAAUUGACUUGGUAACGCAGCUAACGCGUGAAGUAGACCGCCUGGGGAGUACGGUCGCAAGNUUAAAACGUCAAAGGAAUUGACGG
rnacentral:rRNA from 1 species